rnacentral:rRNA from 1 species
GUAGCUAUGUACGGAAUGGAUAAGCGCUGAAAGCAUCUAAGCGCGAAGCCAACUUCAAGAUAAGAUUUCCCACCGCAAGGGUAAGACCCCAGAAAGACUAUCUGGUUGAUAGGUCGAAGGUGUAAGUUCAGCAAUGUAUUUAGCUUAUCGAUACUAAUAGGUCGAGGACUUGACCAAU